UUUUUUGUAGUAUAUUCUUAUUACGUUAGUCUUUCAAACUAAAAAAAGUCUUUAGGUCUC
rnacentral:tRNA from 1 species